GGCUGGUCCGAAGGUAGUGGGUUAUCAGAAAAACUAUUAACGUUAGUGUCACUAAAGUUGGUAAACAACCCCCCCCCACUGCUGGAUUUGACUGGCUAAAA
rfam:Erinaceus europaeus unplaced genomic scaffold scaffold01592, whole genome shotgun sequence